GGGGAUAUAGCUCAGUUGGGAGAGCAGCAGACUGGGGUGUAAGUACUUGCAAUGUCGUUCUGAAGGUCCCGCGUUCAAUCCGCGGUAUCCCUA